AUUGAACGCUGGCGGCAUGCCUUACACAUGCAAGUCGAAAGGCAGCACGGGAGCAAUCCUGGUGGCGAGUGGCGAACGGGGGAGUAAUGUAUCGGAACGUGCCCAGUCGUGGGGGAUAACGUAGCGAGAGCUAGGCUAAUACCGCAUACGAUCUGGGGAUGAAAGCGGGGGACCGUAAGGCCUCGCGCGAUUGGAGCGGCCGAUAUCAGAUUAGGUAGUUGGUGGGGUAAAGGCCUACCAAGCCGACGAUCUGUAGCUGGUCUGAGAGGACGACAAGCCACACUGGGACUGAGACACGGCCCAGACUCCUACGGGAGGCAGCAGUGGGGAAUUUUGGACAAUGGGCGCAAGCCUGAUCCAGUAAUGCCGCGUGCAGGAUGAAGGCCUUCGGGUUGUAAACUGCUUUUGUACGGAGCGAAAAGGCUCUCUCUAAUACAGGGGGCUCAUGACGGUACCGUAAGAAUAAGCACCGGCUAACUACGUGCCAGCCGCCGCAGUAA
rnacentral:rRNA from 1 species